UCUAUGAUGAUAUAAAAAUGGUAGACAGUAGGAGCUGAAUUCAUUGUAUUAGAGAAACAACUAAAACCAGUAUAAUGGGAUCAGGAUUGCUGACAGGAAUCAUACUAGUUAUACCAAACUAGAAAGCCUAAGACAGGAUGUGUACAAAUGUAUGCUCAUUGAGAAGGUAAAGACACCAUCAACUUAAAUUAAUCACAAAGAAAGAAAAAAUAAGGCCAAGAGCAUUUACCAAUAGAAAGAAACAAAUGGAUCUCAAAAAUAAAAGAAGCACAGCCCAAUGGUAACUUACACCUUCUUUCAGACAAUAAACCCUCCCCCCUACCACCUGCAGCCGCCCCGCACACAUGUAUCUACAUGUUAUACAAAUGCUCUGUCACUCCUUGAUUUGUACCCAUAUGGUACACAAAAUGGGGGCACCAUGAGGACUGGAUCUAGUCUCCCUGAAGUACUAUCACAGCCUCCAAUUAAUAAUUUACACAGAUUUGGUCAAGCUGGACUAUUGGAGCAAGAUAUACAAUACAAGAGAAAAAGUGAGCUUUAGAGAUGAGGAGAGAUGAUUGUGGCCAUUGGUUAAUUGCAGAGGGAUAAAAUGAAUUUUGAUUAUAGGAGCUCAAUUCACUGAAAUAGAGAAAGAAAUAAAAUCAGUAAUAAUAGGAUUAGUUCUCCUAACAAGAACCAUGCUAGUUAUACCUGAGUACAUGUUAUACAAAUGGUCUUUCCCUUAAUGACCUGUACCUAUAUAGUAUAGAAAAUGGGGACACAAUGAGGACGGAGAAAAUAGUCUCUUUUAUACACCAUUACUGGCUCCAAUCAAUAGCAUGGUCGCAUUUGGUCCAGCUGGACUUAUACCAACAGAACAUGAGAUUAGCUGCAAGGAUUGAUUUUUCCGAUACUAAGGUACGUGGUAGGACCACUGCUGAAUGCUGAUUCAGCUUUGAUAAAGAAAGCAAUGGAUUAGAUUAAUGAGGCUGAUACUUUCUGCAGUACAUCUCCUCCUGGAUGGAUUAUCAAAAAACCGACAUACAACAAGGUAGUAAUUUUCAGUUAAUAAUUGCUACUAAUGGACAUUUGGUAUUGCUUUUUAUGUUAAUGCACACCUUACAACAGCAAUUAGCACUGGAAUAGCUUCACACAUCAGCAAUAAUGUUGUGGAAGAUCCCUCUCUUUUUUGAAUUUGGUACUAAUACUACCAAUGCUCAUAGUAUGAUACUCAGUAGUAACAUAUACCAGGGACAUAUAUGUUUUCACUCAACAAUCAACAACAACAAGAAUUUUCCUGCUCUGUUUGCUAAUCCUUAUGUGAGGCAAUACUGUGUUAAUUGGUUGUGAAAGAGAAGAUACUUUUUACAUGAACAAUAAUGAUUUUAUUUGGUCAUAAUACUAACACACAUUAUGUUAGAUACCCAAACACAGUUGAUCUUAAUAAUGCCAGUAUAAUAAUGUUGUAUUAUACCUAAGUAAACCUUAUACUUAGGAAUGAAAAGAAAUGGUAACACUCUGAUGUGGUGGCUGCAA